rnacentral:rRNA from 1 species
CAAGUCGCACGAGAAAGCGGGAGCAAUCUCGCAAGUAAAGUGGCGUACGGGUGAGUAACACGUGGAUCAUCUGCCCUGGAGUGGGGAAUAACGCUGGGAAACCGGCGCUAAUACCGCAUAUACCCGAGAGGGGAAAGCAGCAAUGCGCUCGAGGAGGAGUCCGCGGCCGAUUAGCUAGUUGGCAGGGUAAAAGCCUACCAAGGCUGUGAUCGGUAGCCGGCCUGAGAGGGCACACGGCCACACUGGCACUGAAACACGGGCCAGACUCCUACGGGAGGCAGCAGUGGGGAAUCUUGCACAAUGGGGGAAACCCUGAUGCAGCGACGCCGCGUGAGCGAUGAAGCCCUUCGGGGUGUAAAGCUCUUUCGGCAGGGAAGAUAAUGACGGUACCUGCAGAAGCAGCUGCGGCUAACUACGUGCCAGCAGCCGCGGUAAUACGUAGGCAGCAAGCGUUGUUCGGAGUUACUGGGCGUAAAGGGUGUGUAGGUGGCGCGCUAAGUUCCGUGUGAAAUCUCCCGGCUCAACCGGGAGGGUGCGCGGAAAACUGGCGGGCUAGAGUACGGGAUGGGAGAGUAGAAUUCCUGGUGUAGCGGUGAAAUGCGUAGAUAUCAGGAGGAAUACCGGUGGUGUAGACGGCUCUCUGGACCGUAACUGACACUGUAACACGAAAGCGUGGGUAGCAAACAGGAUUAGAUACCCUGGUAGUCCACGCCCUAAACGAUGCAUAUUUGGUGUAGGUCAUUCAGUUGAUCUGUGCCGGAGCUAACGCGUUAAAUAUGCCGCCUGGGGAGUACAGUCGCAAGGCUGAAACUCAAAGGAAUUGACGGGGGCCCGCACAAGCGGUGGAGCAUGUGGUUCAA